UGGGGAAUAUUGCACAAUGGGCGCAAGCCUGAUGCAGCCAUGCCGCGUGUGUGAAGAAGGCCUUCGGGUUGUAAAGCACUUUCAGCGGGGAGGAAGGCGAUAAGGUUAAUAACCUUGUCGAUUGACGUUACCCGCAGAAGAAGCACCGGCUAACUCCGUGCCAGCAGCCGCGGUAAUACGGAGGGUGCAAGCGUUAAUCGGAAUUACUGGGCGUAAAGCGAACGCAGGCGGUUUGUUAAGUCAGAUGUGAAAUCCUCGGGCUCAACCUGGGAACUGCAUCUGAUACUGGCAAGCUUGAGUCUCGUAGAGGGGGGUAGAAUUCCAGGUGUAGCGGUGAAAUGCGUAGAGAUCUGGAGGAAUACCGGUGGCGAAGGCGGCCCCCUGGACGAAGACUGACGCUCAGGUGCGAAAGCGUGGGGAGCAAACAGG
rnacentral:rRNA from 1 species